ACUCCGCGUCAGGGACGAGGCGACUCCGCGUCAGGGACGAGGCGACUCCGCGUCAGGGACGAGGCGACUCCGCGUCAGGGACGAGGCGACUCCGCGUCAGGGACGAGGCGACUCCAGUCCUCAGAAGUCUGAUUUAGUGUCACACUUUUUCCCCAGGCCCAGCUAACACACCUGACUCCAAUAAUCAUCUGAUUAUGAUCUAUCGGUUUAGAAUGCAAUUAGUUUUAACUACGGUGUGUUAGCCAAGGGUAGAGGAAAACGUGUGACUUUGGCCCUUGACAACUGGAGUUUACACAUCCCUGCCCUACAUAGUGCACUACUUUUAACUGAGAGUCCUAUGGGCCUUGGUCAAAAGUAAUGCACUGUAGAGAAUAGGGUGCUAUUUUGGACGUAUCCGUAGUUAGGAAAAUGAGGGAUAUUCCUUCACAGCUCUGACGUGUGCGUCCUGACUGCCCUCUGAAGCUCAUGGCAACGCGUGAGCUCAUGGAAGCUCAUGGCAGAAGCUCAUGGCAACGCGUGAGCUUCUGGUCCCUGGCAUCUGACUAACCCGGUCACCUGUGCCACAGGGUCACACAACAGAACACACACAACAGAACACACACACACACACACACACACAAACUAGAAAGCUGAUCUCUGGCAGCUCUGACGCCGAGGCCACCUGUGGAACAGUGUCAACAGAAAUCAGAUGAGGAUGUGAUGAGACUGUUAUUGGGUGACAUGCCUAUUAAUUUAUCCAUCCUACCUUCCCUCCGCCUAUUAAUUUAUCCAUCCUACCUUCCCUCCCGCCUAUCAUUUCUCCAUCCUACCUUCCCUCCGCCUAUUCAUUUCUCCCCUCAUCCUACCUUCCCUCCCGCCUAUUCAUUUCUCCCCUCAUCCUACCUUCCCUCCGCCUAUUCAUUUCUUCCCUCAUCCUACCUUCCCUCCGCCUAUUAAUUUCUCCCUUCAUCCUACCUUCCCUCCCGCCUAUUCAUUUCUCCCCUCAUCCUACCUUCCCUCCCGCCUAUUCAUUUCUCCCCUCAUCCUACCUUCCCUCCCGCCUAUUCAUUUCUCCCCUCAUCCUACCUUCCCUCCCGCCUAUUCAUUUCUCCCCUCAUCCUACCUUCCCUCCGCCUAUUCAUUUCUUCCCUCAUCCUACCUUCCCUCCGCCUAUUAAUUUCUCCCUUCAUCCUACCUUCCCUCCCGCCUAUUCAUUUCUCCCCUCAUCCUACCUUCCCUCCCGCCUAUUCAUUUCUCCCCUCAUCCUACCUUCCCUCCCGCCUAUUCAUUUCUCCCCUCAUCCUACCUUCCCUCCCGCCUAUUCAUUUCUCCCCUCAUCCUACCUUCCCUCCCGCCUAUUCAUUUCUCCCCUCAUCUUACCUUCCCUCCCGCCUAUUCAUUUCUCCCCUCAUCCUACCUUCCCUCCCGCCUAUUCAUUUCUCCCCUCAUCCUACCUUCCCUCCCGCCUAUCAUUUCUAUCCCUCCCCUCCCUCCUCUAUCCCUCCCCCUCUCUCCCUCUAUCCCUCCCCGCUCUAUUCCCUCACCCCUCUAUUUCCUCCCCCCUCUAUUCCCUCACCCCUAUAUUUCCUCCCCCCUCUAUUUCCUCACCCCUGCCUAUUCAUUCAUUACCCUUUCUAUUCCCCAUGCGGGCAAAUCAAUCCUCCGUGUGUGUACCUUCACACAAAGCCCUAUUGACUUUCAUAACUGAAUCUCUCAUCUUUCCCCUUUUUUCUUUUUGCCUGUCUGUGAGCAAGGUCUUUUACAUUGUGUAACAGAAGUACCUUGUUGAGUAGAGGUGAAUCUUACAAGGGGCUUUUGAAUCAUGGGCAUUCAACACAAACACUCCCAUUAUCUUAUUUUUUUUUUUAAAAGGUGGCGUUAAACAUCGCUGAUGUCACCGUUGGUCCCGGGCCAGGGACGGGGCGACUCCACGUCAGGGACGGGCCGACGGUAGGAACACGUUGUGCUGUCUGACUAUUCAUUGAACGAGGCAUGUAUCUGCACUGUGAACAAGGCAUAUAUCUACACUGUGAACGAGGCAAACGAGGUUCACAGUAGGAAUCCUGUCUGCAGUAGGAUGGAGUAUGUAGGAAUCCUGGAUGUAUGAAACCAUUUCCUCUCACAGCUUUGCAGUAGUCUCUGAGUCUGAUCAGUCCAGGUAAUUUCACCCCACAAACCCUCACAGUUUAAUGAACCACAUGAUUACACCCAACUGGUUGUUCUGACGAGUCUCCCCAAACCCCCACAGUCACAUCAUUACACCCAACUGGUUGUUCUGACGAUUCUCCCCAAACCCCCACAGUCACAUGAUUACACCCAACUGGUUGUUCUGACGAGGGGGAAUGUCAUGACUCUCCUGUGAUGAUCUGAAGGAUCAGGUUACAGGUCCGCUCUACAGCGUACUCUCUCUCUCGUAGAGGGGGGAGAGCGGGAAGUCGACUGUUUUAAUGGCGGUCGUUAAAAUACGCUGCCUCUAUGCUCUGUAGUGUUCGAGAUUGGAAUGUAAACUGUGGAACACAGAGAGACAGACACUUGGACAAUCAAAAGUUUGAAUAAUUAAACAAUAUUUCUAUUUUUGAGAAUGUGGGAAUGGUCCGUGGGUAUUUAAAGAACAAUUCUGUCAAAGUUGCUUCAUUUGGUGAAAGACAGGAGACCCACAUUACUGCAUCUCUGUUUCUGUUAGAUUUACAUCUAUAUGUUAGAUACAAUUAAUAAAUAUGAAACUAUUUGUGAAAAGUUGUAAUGUGAUGUUAGCCUUCUAAAUGAGAGUAUGGAUUUUCAUAUAAAGAUUAUCUAGUCAGUGGCCACGCCCCCGUGAGGCCAGACAUUACAUCAGGUGCCCCUUUUUUUCCACAGAGUAUAAAACCAUUUCCUACAAAAUGUACAUUAAGUCAGAGAACGCCCGGGACGGAGUCCCCACGUUGGAAUGACUACAAUUCUAUAGGCCAUUAGACUAGAAAACAUGCAGCUGACGCUACAUGUGAAAUGGUUAAGAGCUACACCUCUAUAGGCCACGGAGACCAUACGGCGUGUAGCGUUGGCUACACGGCUAGAAAUGGUUAUAAAAACAUUACCACAGAAGGAGAAGAGACAAGGACUUUUCAGUCUGCAGCUGAAAUGUACGUAGCCUAGGACGAAGAAUACCCAACGACCGCCGAAACAUCUAUCUACGCGACAACCUGGGUACGCCUGAUGAAUCCAUUAGGAAUGCAACUAGAGACUUUUCUAUUGACUCUCUCCAGCAGAUGGACCGGCGACCACAGAGCGAGACAAGACAUACAAUCGUAAAUAUGUAAAUUGUUAUUUAUUAUCAAAUGAGCGGUUGUUCAUGUUCAAAGUACUAGCAAUUUCUAUGUGUGUAGUUAUCAGCUAUGAGUCUCCCACUCUUGAGCGGUCCCCAACCCCUUUCCUUUGUUUACCAAGCCGUCAUAUCGUUUUUUUUGUCCACUAGGGACUUUUUCUUUGUAUCAUGUAAUACUCAAUGUAUGAUCUAAUUGUGUGUUUCAUGUAUUUCUGUGAUUUGAUUUGUUAGUUAGUAAAUAAAUAAUUAAGCCAA